ensembl:lncRNA
AUGGGGCAAAUUACCCUUUUCCCAUCCGAUCAACCACCGUUGCUAUCUACGUCUGGUGCUUAAGCAGGCGGUUACAUUUAAUUAGUUAAGUGAUAAAACAAAAAGGGCUGGGAAAUUCUGCCUCGAUUACUACAUCACUUUAAAUCAUCACUUAAUGAACGCAGCCUACGUCUCAUCUCAUCUUCGUCCGCUUAUCCGGGGUCGGGUCGCGGGGGGAACAUAUGCAUGUGUACGUUUAUUAAAUGACAUUUAGUAAUGGAAGCCUUCCCUCAGUUGCCCCAAAUGCAAUUUGAAACCUCCAAGAAAGCCAUGGGAGAAUCUAGGGGGAAUAAUGGUCUCCAAGUCCUUGAGGCAUCAGUCUUUGAUGAAGAGACAUGUUCAAUGUGUGGAGCUGACAGGCCCCCUGGAGAAGCACCUGCCAACACAGACUGGAUCCAGUGUGAUAAAUGUGACCGGUGGUUCCAUGCCCUCUGUUUGAUCAUGGACCCCAGGACACUUAAAGAGCUCAAGCAAAAGCAAU